rnacentral:rRNA from 1 species
GACACGUGAAAUCCUGUCUGAAUAUGGGGGGACCAUCCUCCAAGGCUAAAUACUCCUGAAAGACCGAUAGUGAACAAGUACUGUGAAGGAAAGGUGAAAAGCACUUCGAAUAGAAGGGUGAAAGAGAACCUGAAACCGUACGCCUACAAGCGGUCGGAGCAGUUAUAUACUGUGACGGCGUGCCUUUUGCAUAAUGAGCCUACGAGUUAAUUUUACUAGCGAGGUUAAGGUAUUAAGUACUGGAGCCGGAGCGAAAGCGAGUCUGAAUAGGGCGAGUAGUUAGUGGGAUUAGACGCGAAACCUUGUGAUCUACCCAUGGGCAGGUUGAAGCACUGGUAACACAGUGUGGAGGACCGAACCGGUUGACGUUGAAAAGUCUUCGGAUGACCUGUGGGUAGGGGUGAAAGGCCAAUCAAACUGGGAGAUAGCUCGUACUCCCCGAAAUGCAUUUAGGUGCAGCGUUGAUUUAGUUUAUUAGAGGUAGAGCUACUGAUUGGAUGCGGGGGUUUCACCGCCUACCAAUUCCUGACAAACUCCGAAUGCUAAUAAAUAUUGAUCAGCAGUGAGGGCAUGGGUGCUAAGGUCCAUGUCCGAGAGGGAAAGAACCCAGACCAACAGCUAAGGUCCCUAAAUAUAUGCUAAGUUGAAACAACGCGGUUGAACUGCAUUGACAGCUAGGAUGUUGGCUUGGAAGCAGCCAUUCAUUUAAAGAGUGCGUAACAGCUCACUAGUCGAGCGGUUCGGCAUGGAUAAUAAUCGGGCAUAAGCAUAUUACCGAAGCUAUGGCAACGAAAGUUGGGUAGGGGAGCAUUCUAUCGGCGCAGAAGCAUUACUGUGAGGUAAUGUGGAGCUUAUAGAAAAGAAAAUGUAGGCAUAAGUAACGAUAAAGCAGGCGAGAAACCUGCUCACCGAAAGACUAAGGGUUCCUCAGCCAUGCUAAUCAGCUGAGGGUUAGUCGGGACCUAACGCGAACCCGAGAGGGGAAGUGGAUGGACAAUGGGUUAAUAUUCCCAUACUUGCUCACGAAUAAAGGGGACGGUUCAGCUAGACUACUGGAGACUGACGGAAUAGUCAAGACCUAGCCUACGGGCGAAGUUGUUGUAGAGUAACUGGAUCCAAGAAAAGCCGAAGUGAAGCAACCCGUACCAUAAACCGACACAGGUAGUCGAGGAGAGAAUCCUAAGGUGCUCGAGUGAGUCGUGGCUAAGGAACUAGGCAAAAUAGUCUCGUAACUUCGGAAUAAGAGACGCCAACAGCGAUGUUGGCCGCAGUGAAGAGGCCCAGGCGACUGUUUAUCAAAAACACAGGACUCUGCUAAAUCGAAAGAUGCUGUAUAGGGUCUGACACCUGCCCGGUGCUGGAAGGUUAAGGAAGGUGCUUAGCGUAAGCGAAGGCAUUAACUGAAGCCCCAGUAAACGGCGGCCGUAACUAUAACGGUCCUAAGGUAGCGAAAUUCCUUGUCGGGUAAGUUCCGACCUGCACGAAUGGUGUAACGAUCUGGGCACUGUCUCAGCCACGAGCUCGGUGAAAUUGUAGUAUCGGUGAAGAUGCCGAUUACCCGCAAUGGGACGAAAAGACCCUGUGAACCUUUACUAUAACUUCGUAUUGACUUUGAGUAAGUAAUGUGUAGGAUAGGUGGGAGGCUAUGAAGUUGGCACGCUAGUGUUGGUGGAGCCGUUGUUGAAAUACCACCCUUUGCUUACUUGGAGCCUAACUUCUGAAUAAGAGUAAGAAGGACAUUGCGUGGUGGGUAGUUUGACUGGGGUGGUCGCCUCCAAAAGAGUAACGGAGGCUUUCAAAGGUACCCUCAGCACGCUUGGUAACCGUGCGUAGAGUGUAAUGGCAUAAGGGUGCUUGACUGUGAGACCUACAAGUCGAUCAGGUGCGAAAGCAGGACAUAGUGAUCCGGUGGUUCCGUAUGGAAGGGCCAUCGCUCAUAGGAUAAAAGGUACUCCGGGGAUAACAGGCUAGUCUCCCCCAAGAGCUCACAUCGACGGGGAGGUUCGGCACCUCGAUGUCGGCUCGUCACAUCCUGGGGCUGGAGAAGGUCCCAAGGGUU